GACGAACGCUGGCGGCGUGCUUAACACAUGCAAGUCGAACGGAAAGGCCUGCUUUCCCUUGUGGAUUGCGGGUACUCGAGUGGCGAACGGGUGAGUAACACGUGAGUGAUCUGCCCCCAACUUGGGUAUAAGCCUGGGAAACUGGGUCUAAUUCCCGAUAGGACUGCAGGGUGGUGCCUGUGGUGGAAAACGAUCUUCUAGUGGUUGGGGAUGAGCUCUCGGCCUAUCAGCUUGUUGGUGGGGUAAUGGCCUACCAAGGCGGCGACGGGUAGCCGGCCUGGGAGGGUGGACGGCCACAUUGGGACUGAGAUACGGCCCAGACUCCGACGGGAGGCAGCAGUGGGGAAUAUUGGACAAUGGGCGGAAGCCUGAUGCAGCGACGCGGCGUGGGGGAUGACGGCCUUCGGGUUGUAAACUCCUUUCGACCGCGAGGAAGCCACCUGGUUGGAAGGGUGGUGACGGUAGUGGUAGAAGAAGCACCGGCUAACUACGUG
rnacentral:rRNA from 1 species